rnacentral:rRNA from 1 species
UUCCGGUUGAUCCCGCCGGACCCCACUGCUAUCGGGGUGGGACUAAGCCAUGCAAGUCGAAGGUCCCCGGCUCCGGGGGCCUGGCAGACGGCUCAGUAACACGUGGCCAACCUGCCCUCGGGAGGGGGAUAACCCCGGGAAACUGGGGUUAAACCCCCAUAGGCGGCGAGAUCUGGAAGGACUCGCCGCUGAAAGUGGUGCACGGGGAUGCUCCGUGCACCAGCCCGAGGAUGGGGCUGCGGCCCAUCAGGUUGUUGGCGGGGUAACGGCCCGCCAAGCCUAUAACGGGUACGGGCCCUGAGAGGGGGAGCCCGGAGAUGGGCUCUGAGACAAGAGCCCAGGCCCUACGGGGCGCAGCAGGCGCGAAACCUCCCCAAUGCCCGAAAGGGUGAGGGGGUCACCCCGAGUGCCGGCCUCGUGCCGGCUUUUGCCGGGUCUAAAUAGCCCGGCGAAUAAGGGGGGGGCAAGACGGGUGUCAGCCGCCGCGGUAAUACCCGCCCCCCGAGUGGUGGGGACUAUUACUGGGCUUAAAGCGCCCGUAGCCGGCCGGGUGUGUCCUCCGUCAAAUCCACGGGCCUAACCCGUGGGCUGCGGAGGAUACUACCCGGCUUGGGGGUGGAAGAGGGCGGCGGUAUUCCCGGGGUAGGGGUAAAAUCCUCUGAUCCCGGGAGGACCACCAGUGGCGAAGGCGGCCGCCCAGGACACGCCCGACGGUGAGGGGCGAAAGCUGGGGGAGCAAACGGGAUUAGAUACCCCGGUAGUCCCAGCUGUAAACGAUGCGGGCUAGGUGUCGGGUGGGCCACGGGCUCACCCGGUGCCGAAGGGAAACCAUUAAGCCCGCCGCCUGGGGAGUACGGCCGCAAGGCUGAAACUUAAAGGAAUUGGCGGGGGAGCACCACAAGGGGUGGACGUUGCGGCUUAAUUGGAUUCAACGCCGGGA